GCGAGGAACGGACAAUUAUAUCGAAAUAAUUACUGAAAAUGAUUAUUUUCAAAUCAAGAAAUUGCAAAUUUUUCUGAAAAAUGAAAACAUGUUUUGUUCCGAAGCAAGAUCUGUAAGUUUCGAGAAUUACAAAGAAUGUCUAAUGUACACGAUAAAAUAUAAAAUUUCAUCUUCGUGGAAUAAAUUCGGACAGUAUCUUUGUCAAGGAAACGAUUUUUUAGCUAAGAGCGAAGAAAUCAAUGCUGUGAAAUUUGAUCUUCACAUAAUAAAGCAGGAAAUGAUGUUAAAGUUUCAAUCAUUCACGAUACAAAUUUAUCCUUUAAAACUUGAGGAUCUUGAUCUCAAUUUAUCGUUUCUGGAAGAAUUCAAACAAAAUCCUGAAGGUUUCGUUGAACUUGAUCAAACGUGGUUCAACGUUUUGCCUAGUUUAUUUAAAGCGAGACUUUUGUCCGUUUCAAAGCAAAUACCAUCGGGGACUCCAUUCAAAACUUAUCAAGAACUUCGAUUACACUGGAAAAAUAUGCACGGAUACAUACUGCCAGAGAAUAAUGAGGGAAUUUUAUAUUAUCAAGUCCACUUCAAAACAUUUCCCGAUCAAGUGUUUUUAUAUCCAGAUGUCUGUCUACACUCACAGGCUCCUAAGAUAAUUCAUCAAAAGAGUCACGGACCCACGAGCAAUAAAUUCAUAGAAGACUUGAAAAAUAAUGUCCAAUCAAUUUGUGGAAAAACUCUUUCUUUCGUGAUAGAGGAAAAGAAGGAUUUCAAAUUUAGUCCAAGUCAGAAUUUCUUCUCUGCUAAACAGGUAAAAACGGAAAAAGCAAAUUUGUUCGCUACUCCACUGUCAUCGCUAUUCAAAAAAUCCGAUGUUUCGAGAAGUGUUCCAUUCUCAUCGGUAUACAAAAAAUCAAAUUCGAAUGAAUCGACAACUAUUCCACUGUCGUCUGUAUUCAAAAAUUUAAUACCCGAUUCUUCGGAAGUUGAGGAACAAAAAUCGAUUUUGAAAUUAAAACAACAGACGUUAAAUUUCCCCAAAAAAGUGAGCAUUGCCGAAAAUCCAUCAACGAGCAAUUUGGUGGAAAAAUCGAAUGAUUCUUCGCAAGACACAACAACGAAUGUCAUGAAUAUUCUGAGUCCUCAAUUGUCAAAAAAAAUUAUGACCGAAUACACGCAAUCGCAGCCAAUCAUUAGAAAAUUAACUAUCGAUCAAAAAGGCGAAGUCGACAGUGAAGAGAAAAACGAAACUUACAACAGUAUUUUGAAUAAUACAAAUUUCAAAAAUGUUAAUGAGAAAAAACCUCCAAAGGAAAAGGAAUUAUUUAACGCUUUACUCGAGGAAAAAUCAGAUAAUGAUGUUUUCAAAUUUAUUGCUCCACCGCCAGCGAAAAAAAGUCGAAUUUCAAAACAAAAACAUUCAACAACACCAAUUACGGAAUCGAUUUCUAAAUACUUUAAAGUACAAAAGCCAAUUCAACAGAGACAAGCUCAAACUCAGGGCAACUUGCAAUUAUGGAAACUUAAGAAAGAAGAAAAAAAUCGUUAAUUUGAUACUCUGUUAAUUGUUGUCGUUAUUCUAUAAUUUAUUUUGUCGUUGAAUAUUAAUUUAUUAAUUACGAUAAGCCGAUAAGUGUACGUAAGAACAGUGACUUCCCAUCCCUGGUGCGGACGCCAAAGUUCAUUAUGAACGGUACUUAAGAAAAAACUCUUCUGCCAUUUUGUAAAACGGCCAAAUUGACAUAAACGUCG